rnacentral:rRNA from 1 species
CAAGCGGUGGAGCAUGUGGUUAAAUUCGAUGCAACGCGAAGAACCUUACCAGGGCUUGACAUGCCCGCGACCCCACAAGGGUCGUGCUCUUCCAAGAAAAGGGAAGAAGUUUUUUUUAAACGGACACAGGUGGUGCAUGGCUGUCGUCAGCUCGUGUCGUGAGACGUUGGGUUAAGUCCCGCAACGAGCGCAACCCUCGUGGGAAGUUGCCUAUUUUUAAUAGUGCUCUCUACUCAGACUGCCGGUGACAAGCCGGAGGAAGGUGAGGAUGACGUCAAGUCAGCAUGCCCCUUACGCCCUGGGCUACACACGUGCUACAAUGGCCGGGACAAUAGGAUGCUACCCCGCAAGGAUAAGCUAAGCCCCAAACCCGGUCUCAGUUCGGAUUGUAGGCUGCAACUCGCCUGCAUGAAGGAGGAAUCGCUAGUAAUCGCCGGUCAGCCACACGGUGGUGAAUACGUUCCCGGGCCUUGUACACACCGCCCGUCACACUAGGGGAGCUGGCUCUGCUCUAAGUCGUGACUCUAACCGUGAGGAGGAGAACGCCAAAAGCAGGGCUCGUGACUCGAGUGAAGUCGUAACAAGGUAGCGGUACUGGA